GUUCUGGCUCAGCAGGAGUCCCUCUUGCAUCGGCGUGCAAGGGUAACUGUCUGCUAUGUCACCAACUGACCACGAGGUCGUCUGAGCAAAUGAUUUUCUGACGGAAUCCUGGUGUGCAUCAUCUUCCUUUUCCUCCGUUGGGCGCGCUGGCAACCCCAACGCUGGAGUCAGUUGGCUCUGAGCAUCAUUCAAAACAUCUUCUCCAAAGCCGUGACGAGGACAGAGAUCUAAAAGGGUUUCAGACUCAAGCAACUCUUGCAUGGUGAUCAUCAAGCCCACUUGCAUACAUCUGCCCAGCAUCUGUAUUGCAGUGAGGGAGUCACCCCCAUGUGCUAAAAAUGACUUGUUCAUCUCAAUGCCGCUCAAGGGCAUUUUCAAAACUUCGGCGCAUAUCUUCCGAAGCUGCUCUUGGGCCUCGCUCGGCGGUUGAUGUAUCGGGAUGAUCUCAAGCGUCACCAUCCUCACUGGUGUCUACUUGAAGGCGGGAAGGGGGGGAAAUAGCAAAGAGCAAAC
rnacentral:sRNA from 1 species